AGCAGAUACAUUUGCAAUUGUGAGUUGGAGUCAGAGACCGUGUUUGUAAAAGAAACAUGUUUGAAUGCUGCAGCAGGUGAUCCCAUUGUGUAAAAGUGAGAUGGAGACGCGCAGGGCCAACUACUCCACCAGUUCUGGGUGAUGAUGUCACAUCCUGGCUGGGACAACAGCCAUUGUACACUACAGGAGGUGAGCCUUCCGCCAAAUGACCACUCUUCCUGCUAAAGUGCAGGACGGCCAGAAAAAGGGGCUACAAUUUGGAGGCCGAGGCACGAUACAUAAAGCAUCUGCAGACUGCUGAAAAAUACUGAAAAUAUCAGACAAAUGAAAUACAAUUAAGCCUAAGCUAUUUUGACAUUGACCAGUUUUGAACCCAGGCCACAAUAGAGAGAGCACCAAAUGCUUACGACAAGACCACCAGGGAGUAUGGAGGAUUUGAGACUGUGUAUAGCUUGUGUACUGAAAUAAAUAAAUUCAUCCGGAUCGCUGCCAAAAUUCUAUCAUUUGUACAUUGUCCCAUUUCAUGUAUUUUAUGAAAAUGUCAUCCAUUUAAGCUGAUAAUGUUUCAAGUUAUUUUGAACACAGACAGACCUAGAACUAACAUUUAAUUUCCAUAUUGAUCAAACAGAAAAAAAAGGAAAAAAUAACAUAACUGCUGGGCCUGGAACCCACCA